GAUCCUGGCUCAGGACGAACGCUGGCGGCGCGCCUAACACAUGCAAGUCGAACGGAGCUGAGAGGAGCUUGCUUUUCUUAGCUUAGUGGCGAACGGGUGAGUAACGCGUGAGUAACCUGCCCUGGAGUGGGGGACAACAGUUGGAAACGACUGCUAAUACCGCAUAAGCCCACGGUACCGCAUGGUACUGAGGGAAAAGGAUUUAUUCGCUUCAGGAUGGACUCGCGUCCAAUUAGCUAGUUGGUGAGGUAACCGG
rnacentral:rRNA from 1 species